AUAAUUACGUAAUUGUCAAUAAAUCCUGAGUUGUUGAUGUGUCAAAGUGAAAAUUAUUUCCGCAAUUUUAGUGAUUUCUAAUUGAAAACGAGACGAAAACAUUGAAAAGCGACUUAAAAAAGGUAACAUGGAUGAUACCAAUAGUCCAGUUAUAAACUAUUCAAGCAACAAUAAAAAAAAAUUGAAUGGUCUGUUUCGUUCAAAAUGUUUAACCUCGUAACGCCCAGAUACCUAUUAAAAGGCAUGCAGCUCGAUAGUGGUACCGGCCCAAGCUGUUAUCCAACUUUAUGACAUAAACGCCCUCGGUACCUUUUUAAAGGUAUCUGACAGGUAUCUGAUUUGAAAACGCCGUAACAUUUUAAAUUACGCGCCAAAUCUUAAAGACACAAAAUCAGUAUCUUGACGAGAUUUCUUCUAUGACCGGACCAUGUUAUUCGUGUUGAAGAUAGUAUAAAAAACGAGAUGGAAUAACUGCAGAAAUGGAAGAGUUCAUAAUAAGAGUCAGAGAUAAUGAUAGUGAUUCUUACUAUUCACUCACGGUUGAAUUUUUAGAUUUAAUAUGAUUAUAUUGAUUAAAAACAAACUUUAAUUGUAUUUUUAUUGUGUUUUUUCUUGCUUUCAUUCGGUGUUCUUUUUUGUCUGUCUGUAUCACUUAACUACUAUAUUACUGUAUAAAUCAAUAUUAAAAAGAUGAAGAGUU